GGAAACCACGGUUUUGGCGAUCCUAGAAUGUGGAGUAAGAAACAAAAACCUUCAGUUAGCUGAAUAAUGUUAUCAUUACUGCUUGGAAAACCCAGAAAAAACAAGAUUUAUCCAUCGAAUUCAAUUACUGUCCAAGAAGACAAACUGACAAGUGACUAAUAAUAACAUGCUUGCUAACUGGAAUCAGUUGCACAUCCACAGCUAACAUCAUCUUCUCUAAAAAUAUGCAAAAGUUUGGUUACCU
rnacentral:misc_RNA from 1 species